AUGCCUUUUGUGUGUUUCGACUUAUGUGUUUGCACCGUGUCAUUAUGGUUGCUGGAUGUUACACACAAGCUUCAGAAAUUAUGGAGAGUUAAGAGCAGGGAGGAGUCUAAGCUCAACCUCUUAGAGCUUCAAAUGGUGAAAUCUGGGGGAGAAGUUACAGAGAAGAUGAGGAAGAGAGGUGAAGAAUUGAGAGAGGAUGAAGGUGGAGUGAAAAUGGAAUAG